rnacentral:rRNA from 1 species
UACGUAGGGACCAAGCGUUGUUCGGAUUUACUGGGCGUAAAGGGCGCGUAGGCGGCCACCGCAAGUCGACUGUGAAAUCUCCGGGCUUAACUCGGAAAGGUCAGCCGAUACUGCGGGGCUAGAGUGCAGAAGGGGCAACUGGAAUUCUCGGUGUAGCGGUGAAAUGCGUAGAUAUCGAGAGGAACACCUGCGGCGAAGGCGG